CCGGCCGGGGGCCAUGGGGGCGUCCCCUCGAUGCCUCAGCGCCGCGCCGGGGCUGCCCCGCUGCUGGGGAAACGCCGCCCCAAGCCAAAAAAAAAGGGAAAAAAGAACAACAUCAGCCGCUCUGCUGUGAACUGCAGACCCGCCGGCUGAGGCCUGUCUGUCCGUGAGACAUGUCUGUCUGUGGUGCUGCUCCCUCCGCCUGCGGGUCCCCUCAGCUCCAAGCCCGGCUCCCCUGAAGGCAGCUGCAAACCAGGCGGCUCCUCCUCCGUAAAGGCGCGUCCGUGGCGGCUCUGGGGGGUUUGGGGAUUUGGCUUUUAGUACAGCCGGAAAGUAGGGGCUGGGGGGGGCUCUGAAACUUUCGCUUUAGCCCAAAAUGUACGGUGUAUUGCUUUGAAGAGUUUGGCAUCUGAAUGUGGUCUUUUUCCACACACCCAGUGGCCUCUUAUCUUUGAAAUAUUUAAUAUUUUAAAGUUAUUUCUGUUUUAAAAUUGAGUUCCAGGUGUAAGGAGUGCCAGUGAACCCCAGCGUGCCCAGCAGCCUGCCUGCUUCCCGGCCCUUUCGCCGCCAUCCAGCCCGGGCGCGCUCUCCUGGAGCGUGCAGUGCUACGGCACCUCUGAGCCCUGCUCCCAGGGACUGCUCUGGAAGGAGGCUGUCUUCUGAGCUGCUACACGUUAUCUUCCCGGUGUCUUCCUGUGCUUCCUCAACCCUGGCAUUUUGUACCCUAGGCAGUUGGAGGAGCAACAGGAGGGAAAAGGAUGCAGCAGCCAGCAACUGGAGGAGCUAAUUCCAGCUACAGAGCAAGUAACUGACCUUGUUCUACAGAAUAUAGAGCGUACCCUUGAUCUGGUAAUACCCCAGGAGUACAAGACCUGUCAGUUAACGCAGGGGUCAGUGGUACACAUCCUGCUCCGACGUGCAAUUGGGACACUGCAAGCAAGGCUGCACAGGUGCUGAGAGGAGCUCAUGGAUCCCAUGGACUAGGUGAUGAUUUAGACUAAGCAGGAUAAAACUUGGGCUGAACUCUCUGCCUUCCAUUUCCAUUGCCAGGUGCCACUGCUGCUGUGUGUGGUAUUUACAGGCUGAAGUAUGCUCAGGCAUUUUUCUUUGUGCCCAGCCAUCACAGCUGUUGAUCUGUCAUUAGAGUUGAAGGGCUAUGGCUGUAGCUGUAGUUAAAGGCUUUAGGUUGCUCUCUAAAUGCUUUGGUUAGACUCCAGAAAGGAUCAGUAGUUCACCUCACAGAUCUUACCAUUAACUUAGGACCUUACAGUACAAUUUGUACGGUCAAUAAAGCUUGAGUUGGCUAAUUGUUUAUGUGCUUGAAAAGGAUAAGCAUAAACACAGUAGCGCAGUAACGGAGCCCAGUGAAUGGUAAGGCAGACAGAUAAAUUGCAGCGUUAGCAGAAAUGGAGCUAAGCAGUCAGGCUGAAAAGUCCAGCUUCAGCUUGGCUGCCUGGUUUUGUUAUCUGAUCCCAGUGCUAUCUACAGGUACUUCCAAUUACAAAAUGGAUGUUUAUUUAUGUGACCAACCAAAAUACACUCUAACGUAAAUUAACUGUAGAACUACAAGGUGAUUUCUCUAUGUAAUUAUGCCUGGAAAUUUUGCCAGGGAAUGUAUAGAUAAAUAGAACUGACACAGCGCCCUACUCCAGAAGGUAGCUAAACAAUAGUACAAGAAAUUAGAGAUUCCCUUUCACUGUAGUACAAAACAGGCUAUCAAUCAUUUGCCUAGGAAGAGUAGUAACAGUUCUGUAUUGAGUUACAUCGGACAUACCAGAAAAAAGGCAAUGUGGCUCCUGUAAGAGGAAAGUUAGUGUCUUUCAAAGCUGUUGUUUUUGCAAAUGCUAUUAAAAAAGGCUAGGGUUCCUCACACCUAAAUUGGAGACACAUAAAUUGGUUGUUGCUCUACACUUUUUGUACAAUCAAAAGAGAUAAGUGGGCUGAUUCACCCCUGAAGCUGCCUGUUGACUGCAGAGGAGGUUGAAGAUUGCUAUUUUUUAAGCUAGGUGACUCAGUCAGCUUCAUUCUAAGGGAAGUAAAUUACAGCAAAGGAGGAAGACUUGGGGUCUCAUUUUCUCAAUGCAGAAUCAUUAGAAUUUAUCUGUGAAUAGCACUGAGAUCAAGUAACAACAUUCACAUGUAUCUUAAAAUAAGGGGUUGCUCUGACACACUGAACAGGUCUGGUUUCUAAUGUUAAAAGGGAAUCCUGAUAUUCUUUAAGAAUUGUGUCCUAUAGUUUUUUAACAGAGUUUCAGAGCAAGAAUAAAACUGGAAAAAAGUGAAUGACCGUUAGUCAAAAGCUGAUAUUGGGAUUUUCUAGCCAUGGUUACUGGAAUAUUGUGUUUGUUAACAAUUUAGUGAAAAGAAAGGACAGCCAGAUGCCAUUUUUUUCAGCUGCCAAACCAGAAGGGCAAGUGCUGCAAAAUAUGUUACAGCUCAGAAUCCAUCCAUCUUCACUUACAUGAGCAGAAAUAUUUUUCCCACUGCUGCUUUCAGUUUUGAAGUGUAACUCAUCAAAGGAGGUCCCUCAUGGAAAGGGUAUUCUCGUCUCAAAAAGCAGGAAGGUGUA